rnacentral:snoRNA from 1 species
ACCCUCCAGAUUCCUCACCAAUCAGAUUAAACCUUAGUCUGAGUGGCUAUAAAAAUAGGAAAGGUAAAACUGAGCUGACCUUGAAUUCUUUAGUGAUAUGAAAGUUUGUUCCAAAGAAAU